AGGUUUAAGGGGCAUGGCAUGUUGGCACCAUUCACAGCUGGAUGGCAGAGCAAUGGUGUGCAUCCGUUGGUUAUUUAGAGAUCUGAGGGUUCUUAUGUUUAUGACAUCAAUGGGAACAAGUAUCCAGAUUCUCUAGCAGGACUGUGGUGUACAACUUUAGGUAUGUAA
rnacentral:rRNA from 1 species